rnacentral:rRNA from 1 species
AGUAAAAGUCGUAACAAGGUCUCCGUUGGUGAACCAGCGGAGGGAUCAUUACAGAGUUAUCCAACUCCCAAACCCAUGUGAACUUAUCUCUUUGUUGCCUCGGCGCAAGCUACCCGGGACCUCGCGCCCCGGGCGGCCCGCCGGCGGACAAACCAAAACUCUUGUUAUCUUAGUUGAUUAUCUGAGUGUCUUAUUUAAUAAGUCAAAACUUUCAACAACGGAUCUCUUGGUUCUGGCAUCGAUGAAGAACGCAGCGAAAUGCGAUAAGUAAUGUGAAUUGCAGAAUUCAGUGAAUCAUCGAAUCUUUGAACGCACAUUGCGCCCAUUAGUAUUCUAGUGGGCAUGCCUGUUCGAGCGUCAUUUCAACCCCUAAGCACAGCUUAUUGUUGGGAACCUACGGCUUCGUAGUUCCUCAAAGACAUUGGCGGAGUGGCAGUGGUCCUCUGAGCGUAGUAAUCUUUUAUCUCGCUUCUGUUAGGUGCUGCCCCCCCGGCCGUAAAACCCCCAAUUUUUUCUGGUUGACCUCGGAUCAGGUAGGAAUACCCGCUGAACUUAAGCAUAUCAAUAAGCGGAGGA